rnacentral:precursor_RNA from 8 species
GUGGUUUGGAGUGUUUGGCAUCUUCUGAGGAAAUGUAGUAGACUAUAAGUAUACAGUGAACAUGAACGUAUACUAAGUACACUACGUUUUCUCAAGAGGUGGAAUCUCACCGCGUGUUUUG